UGGUGGCGAUGGCGGAGGGGAACCACGCGUUCCCAUGCCGAACACGACCGUUAAGCCCUCCAGCGCCGAUGGUACUUGGACCGCAGGGUCCUGGGAGAGUAGGACGUCGCCA
rnacentral:rRNA from 1 species